CAGAGUGACAGGCUUGUGAUCUGUGCUCCUCGCGCAGGAAUCCCUCCCUUCCUCCCAGACACCCUGAGACAGCGGGAGCUUCCGCCCGAGCCCUUCUCGAGGCUGGGAACCAGUGCCCGGCCUCCCCUGCAGGCACUGCCCCUUUUAGGGCGUCCGGGGCUUGCAGAAGGUCAGCACCGCGGACAGAGCCAGACGGGAGGGCGGGGCGCGGCGCCCCGGAGACGUCACGGCGCCCGGACUUGGGCGCGCGCUCGAGGGGCCGUCACGUGACCUGGGCUUCUGCACGCACGCCCCCUCCACGCAGCCCCCUCCCGACCUGCAGCUGGAGCCGCUGGCCGCGCAGACCCCGCCCACGACUUGCUGCUGCCCCUGGAGGAGCCCUCCCUUUCUUGGUUAGGAGACACCUGCCUGCUGGCUCACAAGAUGAGCCAGCUGAGGCCGCUACUGUCCCGGCUUGGGGCCCAGGCUGUCAGGCUCCUGGCCACACGGGACAUCCUGGAGAGGAGCUGGCACAGCAGGUCCUCAGGGUCCCCAGCUGCCUUCCCCAGCAGCCCAGGCGGAGGCAGCUCCAGUUACAUGGAGGCAAUGUACUUGGCCUGGCUGGCAAACCCGCAGAGUGUGCACAAGGUCAGCACCCCACCCUGAGGGGGGAAGGGGAAGAUUUUGGGGGCAGGAGUCCUCCAUGGGCCCUGUUGUGAGAGGGGCCCAUCCUCUUAUCAUGGGAGAGGAGAGCUUCCUGCCUCUGUUGAACCAGAUGGUGGGAGGUGGUCCUGACGGUACCCUGCUCACCUGGAUGAGCCACUGGCUCCUCUCACAUGCCCGGCUGUCCCCAGAUGCCUCUCUUAUGCUGUGAGGGCCUCUAAUGUUUAUAGCUGCAUGAUCUGGUAGAGUAAAUGUUAGAUCAGACCACAGGGGGAAAAUUGAAACUGUCCUCACGUACUCUGCAGUCAUGUGACCCAAAACCCCCAAAGGAGGAAAAGUCAAAAGGCUCUAUCUAAAUUCACCCCCUUACGCUGUUCAGACCCCAGACUGCACCUGCCCUCUAGUUUAUUCUUAGUUUUUCUCUUUCUCUAACUUUCUUUACAUGAACUCAUUGCAAAAAACUAGAUUUCCUCCUCUUACACAAAACUAACAUGAACCAGUACUGUUUUGCUCUUUGCUUUUUUGCUGAGCAGUCUGCCUCCCAGCUCGAUCCAUACCAGUAUGUAAAGAGCCCAGUGGUUGCUUUUCCUAGCUGUGUAGAAUUCCACUGGAUGGAUCUGCCAUCCUGGUCCUGGGGGACAAGUGUCCUGUUUGCUGCCACACACGUGCAGCUGUGUGUAGCACACUUUCCAGGGAGGGAGGGAGCACCUGUGUGUCAUUCUGUGAGCACUACCAGGUUGCUUUCUGUGGGGGUUGCUCUGCUUGGUUCUACUGGCACGGGCGGAGUGAGCGGAGGAAGCACUUUCACACCUUCUCCAACAUGGCAGCACCCACAUGUGUACACUGCUUGUCCCUCUGUGUUUGCCUCACUGCCCUGUGCAGCACCCACAUCUGCAACAUGAACCUGCCCGCUGAUCUUUUAAGAUGCACAGUAGUCUAGACUCCAAACGUGGCUUGAAUUUGUUCACGCAGCUUUCUCUUGAUAGUCCCUUGGGGGCUUCUGUGCUGUCACUUUUACAGUCCUGCAGGGAACAUCCUGUGUGCACAUCUGGGCACACUGUGUGAGCACAUCUGUGGGAUAAAUGGCUGGCGGCAGAGGUGCGGUGCAGAAGACUCGUGCCUAGGUCCCCUGUGCUCCAUAGAACCCUCACAGCAGGAUCCCUGAGCCAUACUCACCUGCCCCCCCAACCUCCACACUAAGCUGCGUCCUGAGCAGAGCUGGCUCCGGGGUGAUGGGGUCCCCAGGGAUCAGCGGAUGCCUCCUGGGCUGCCAGCAUGGGCCACCCAGCUUCUCCGGCCCUGAGUAGGCUACUCCUUGCUUCUACCCGCCGGCCCCAGUCCUGGGACAGCUUCUUCCAGAAAGCCAGCCAGGAGGCUCCACGUGCCACCCCUGAGGGCAGGCCCAUGCCUUCCAGCCCGACCACAAACAGCAAGCUGGUGGAGGACCACCUGGCCGUGCAGUCCCUCAUCCGGGCCUACCAGGUGAGCCAGUGCCAUCUCCCCAGAGGGCCCUCUUCGGGGCGAUCCCCACGUGCCCCUGCCCCUCUGGCUGCCUGUGGCGCACCCCAUCUGGAGCACCUUGCACCCCCAGGAGGUGUGCUUGCUGACCUGCCGGCUGUGUAUGUCUCCUAUGAUCUUGCACACACCAUUCCCUAAGGACCCAGAGGGACACAGUGGACAAUUGGCUUCCGAUAGCCUCUCCUUGGUGUCUGUUUUCGCCCUAGACUGGCCGCUCCGGGAGGACAGGGCUGGUAUACCUUAGUGUUUAUGGAGUGAAUAUUUCCCCCCCCACCAGCUGCUCCUUCUGGAGCUCUGGGCUCUCCCACACUGGGUGCCAGGCUGAGCACCUCUGCUGUUGGUAUUCCCAUGACAUCCUCUAUUCUUAGGGGACCCCUGCCCAGAGUUCAUGCCGUGACAAGCACACGCUUGGGCUCUCACCAGGCACUGGUGGCAGAGGCACUUUGUAAGGAAACCUGAGGUGCAGCUGGACCCUGGGGAGCCAGGGGUCCUGGCAGGGCCUCAGCUGCUGAGGCAUGGUCUGGAGCAAGGGGUGUG
rnacentral:lncRNA from 1 species